GUAACUUCAAAGAUGGCAUAGCUGAUAGAUGGUAAAAUGGUGGGGCUGGAAUACAACCCAAGAAGACUACUAAGAUUUGAGGUUCCAAUUAAAACUGUGUUUGGGCCAUUGCAUUACUGCCUGCUAGUGCUUAAUCUUCACCGAAAAUCUCGUCACUUAUUUUAAAACAAAAGAAGAACAAAGAUGAAGUAAAGAACAACGCCGAGUCUAUGUCUUCCACAGAUCACCAUUUAAGUUAAGUUUAUCAAAUUUGUGUUGAUUACUUAUUUCAUUCUAGGCAAUGCCUCUAGGUUUGGGGAUAUAGGAUGAAUAAAACAUGACUUUUAUCAUCUUGGAUCAUACAAUUAUUGAGGAAGCCAAGCAUGUAUAUCAUUUGAAUACGAUCUGUUGAGCAUUCUGAAAGAGAUCUUUGCAACAUGGUAUUGGAAACUUAAAGAGGGAGAUUCAACCCACCUUGGCAGGGAGGUUAAGCCAAUGAAAAGACACUUGAAAAGAUAAUGCCUAAGCUAUCAAAAAAUGAGUGGAAAACAGCCAGGCAAAAAAAAAAAAAAAAAGAUGCAGAGUUUUAUAGAACAGCAGGAAGAAGAGUACAAAGGCACAGAUAUAAUUAAAAUGAAGGUCAUCUCCCUUGGUGUGUGAUAUGGCAAUAAAACAA
rnacentral:lncRNA from 1 species